rnacentral:rRNA from 1 species
GGGUCAGUAGGUUGGUCGUGCCACCGGUACGUACUGGUCUCACUGAUUCCUCCUUCCUGCAGAACCGUAAUGCCAUUAAUUUGGUGUUGCGGGGAAACAGGACUGUUACUUUGAAAAAAUAGAGUGUUUAAAGCAAGCUAACGCUUGAAUACAUUAGCAUGGAAUAAUGAAAUAGGACGAUCGAUCCUAUUUUGUUGGUUUCUAGGAUUGACGUA